UUUUCAGAUUAUAAACGCGACUGUGAUAUAUACUGUAUGUGAUCAAACCUUAUACUGGAUUUCUGCAAAAGAUUGCACUUCUCAUCAUCUAUUAUUACAUAGGGAUACUGAGCGCAAAUAAAUUUCCCUGCACACGCAAUCACUAUUGUGCUCGCUCACACCAAUGUCAUGCGGCACACCCUGAGCAGCCAUUGUAUACACACUGCCGCACCGUUUUAACUCACGGCCUUUCAAGCGUGCAAUUGACAGCACCACCACUAUUUGGCACACUUCAACCAACGCGCAUUGUUGUUGCACGCCGCUUUGUUUACAUCAGCAUGUGACCGGCCAGCACGUUGCCCUACCAACAAUUUGUCGAGUCGGCAGACACCAUCUAGCGAUUCUGGGUACCUGGUAAAUGACGCGCGCCGAGAUACAACACCUCAAAUGUUUGCGGCCACGCGACGGCACAGGGUGACCAAUGUGCUUCAAAAUUAAAAAUUAAUAAAAAAUAGCCUCUCUAUGAAGAGUAUCAUUAAAUAGCAAAAUUUUAUAGUAAAAAACAAA